GGCCAAGCUACUAAGAGCAGACGGUGGAUGCCUUGGCGUCGGAUGGCGAUGAAAGACGUGGCUAACUGCGAUAAGCUUCGGCGAGCCGUUAAACAGGCUUUGACCCGGAGAUUUCUGAAUGGGAAAACCCAUCCCGGGUAAUUCCGGGAUAUCUAUUGCUGAAUACAUAGGCAAUAGAAGCGAACGAGGGGAACUGAAACAUCUAAGUACCCUUAGGAAGAGAAAGCAAAUGCGAUUCCCAAAGUAGCGGCGAGCGAAAUGGGAACAGCCCAAACCGUACAUAUGUUAAAGCCUGCAAGCGUUGUAUGUGCGGUGUUGCGGGGCCUUGUCGGAGGCGGUUGCAGUCGCUUCGACAAGUCAGAAAUGCAUUGUAUAGCUGAAGAGCCUGGAAAGGCUUGCCACAGAAGGUGAUAGCCCUGUAAGCGAAAUACAGAUGCACUUGUUGGACAAGGUUCCCAAGUACCGCGGGACACGAGAAACCCUGCGGGAAUCCAGGAGGACAUCUCCUAAGCUAAAUACACGCCGGCGACCGAUAGUGAACAGUACCGUGAGGGAAAGUGAAAGUACCC
rfam:Delta proteobacterium NaphS2 ctg_1101087565193, whole genome shotgun sequence.